UGGUCAAGUUAUUAAGGGUGCAGGGCGGAUGCCUUGGCACUAGGAGCCGAUGAAGGACGGGAUAAGCUGCGAUAAGCUUCGGGGAGUUGCACGUAAACUUUGAUCCGAAGAUUUCCGAAUGAGGAAACUCACUUAGAGUAAUGUCUAAGUAUCAUUAAGUGAAUACAUAGCUUAAUGAGGGGAACUCAGGGAACUGAAACAUCUAAGUACCUGAAGGAAGAGAAAGAAAUUCGAUUCCGUAAGUAGCGGCGAGCGAACGCGGAUUAGCCCAAACCAAUAAAGUUUUCUUUAUUGGGGUUGCGGACAUAUCAUAACGAAGAG
rnacentral:rRNA from 1 species